AGGUGUUACGUCGUGACGGAGUCGUCUGCCUCACGGCUGCGUCCUCACGAGGAAGGAGAGGGGCUGGAUUUAGGAGAGCCAUUUAUUCCUAACCUGGACCAGGCAGAAGUUUUAACCUGCGUUUUGCAAGCAGCUGGGAAAGAAAACACAGGGAAGAAACACCACAAAGAUAUCUAGGGGAAGCAAAGGGCUCUCACGCUGACCUAUAGAACAAUAGGAGCCAAGAGAAUGUAUAGACGGGGAGAUGGCACCGUGCGGGAUUUCAAGGCCGUUACUGCUGUAAAGCAGAGCAGCUUGGAAAAUAAACAGCAAAUUCCAGCAAGUUUCUCUUCCUCCCCACUAUAUUUUGUGCCAUCCCUACCUAUCUCCUCGUCUCCAGGAAUUAACUGUUUAGGAGGUGAGCAGCCGACGCAGGCAUCCUACCAGAGUGACACGGCCUGGCUGGCGCACAGUGAUGCUGAUGCCUCCCACAGAAGCCAUCCUUAAUUCUCAGAACAGAGAGACAUUGCCACGGGCUGGGAAUUUUAACUGAGAGAAAUAACUAAAUGAAUGUGGCAGGGCCUUAAUUCAGGGACCAGUGGAUGCAAAGUUUCCCCUCCUAGGGAUGGUGAGUUAAUGGGAUUUGUUACUCCUGGCUAGGGUGCAAGGGGGGUUAAUCCCUUCCUUCGUGUAUAUCCCCAUUAAGCUGGUUUAGGUCAUGUUUAGAGUUAAAGUUUUUCAGUACAGACUCUGUCCAUCUCUGCAGUGCUGGGCAUGGGGCUAAACCCAGCCAGGUGCUGCCAGCUCUAGCCCCGCGAUUGUCACCCCCUUGCACCUCCCACCACCCAGAAACUCAGGUGAGCCCCAGACAAAGCAAAAGGAGGUUUAGCUUUCAUUAAAGUGGUGAGAAAGCUCAUAAAGGCUUUUGGAAAGCCAUCAUCACUCCGGGAAAGCUCCCACCGAGGCCCAGAGCCUAUUGUUUGUUGCAAUGUGAUUUAUCGUGGAAUGGGUAAGGUGGAAAAGGGACCUUUUCCCCUUUGAUUAGGUGCUCAGCACCUGCCCAGUGGGAUCUAUUCCCCUGAAGUCACCCCUGCUGUUGGCUCCCCAUAUCAUUAAGCUGAACAUGAGGCUGUACCUUUGAGGUUAUUUCCUUAAGCCCAUCAUCUUUUAGGAGCCAUCCAUCCUGCAAAGCGUUAAAUAACCUCACCUGACCUCCUCCAGCAAGGCAAAGCUCUGCAUCCUUAGUUAGGGGCAUAGAUCACCUCUACCGUUUUUCCUCUGGCACUGGAGGUGGAGCAGAGAAGUGAAAUGUCAUGGGGGGGUUUGGGAGGGGAAAUAAAAUAAAUAAAAAAAGAAAACCAAAACAGGCAAAGUCUAAAUCCACCCAAAUUUGCCUCGAAACCAUUUUCCCAUCCCAUCCUGGCCGAGCGCAUACGCAGGCGAUCCCGAGCGGGGCGUGCGGGAGGGCCGGACACAUAUGCCGCGCCAUAUGGAGCGGCGCGAUGCUGGUCAAUCGGAUCUUUAGGAGUUUUAGCAUUUAAUUUCUUAAUGUGCUAACAGAGCAGAGGGAGGGAAUGGAUCACCCGUUAAGUCCAAGGAUUUAUGCUUGUAAGGGAGCGUAAUGUGUUUUCGAGCAGCCUGGAGUGGGCUUUAAAUACCCUUGGUAACCGGGAUGGGGAGCGGGCAAGAGCGUGAGCUAGAAAAGACCCUGAGGCAUCCCUUUGAGUGUUAACCCAGUGCAGGUUUAUGAUGCAGCACUCAGCCCCAGCAUGAGUGGCCUCAGAUUCAGGCUGAAAAUCCCCAUAUCCGUUUUGCAGAUAUGUUUUGCCCAGGACCGAGGGCUGUGAGUGAUGCAAGCCCUGGUCUGGGUUUGUAUCUCCAGCCACUCCCACAGUUUUCAGCGGCUCCAUGUCCUCUGUAGACAUCUCUCUUCCAUUUGAAGCUGCUAGGGAUGGGUGACUAAAUGUCUCUGGGAUCCCAGAUCCCCAGUUUCCCUACUUGUGUAAGGGGGAAUUGAACUAGGAUGAUCUUAAAGGCUUUGUGCAACCAAAACGAUUCUGUGGUUUACUACCUUACGAUUGGCAUCAGUGCUCGUGCAGAUUCCCAUAGCGCUGUGGGAUGCUCCAAAGGAAGAUGUUAGAGACAGAUAAACCACUGUUAUGUGUGCAAUCAUAUACAACCUUCAUUUUGGAGAGAUACUGAAAUUCCCACUUUCUACCUCCAACCAAAUUACCUCCCAUGAAACGCACAUCUAUUCAUUUCUAAGUCAAACAGCUCAGCUCUCUAUCAAUCUCUGAGGCACCAAACCAAGGAGGAGAUAAAUAACGUGACGCCGUGACCCCAGCCGCCAGCACAGUCCCCACCGGGCAGCUGCCGAGGCUGAUGCUCAUGUGGCUCGUGGCUCCAGCUGCGGUUUGAAGCGCGGUGGUCUCAGAGGGAUGCUCUGGCUGUUGGCUUCUGUCAGCGAGACCUUUAAAAUCUGUGCUAUAUGGCUGCUUAUUUGAAUUGCAAACAGUUUAAGGGAGGUAUAUGAGAAGUUGCUUGUUCAGAGUAAAUAGGGUUGGGGGUUGCUUUUUGUUUUUAAGCAAGUCCUUUCUCGUCAGGGUUUCUUUUUUGGGGGGGGAACUGGCAUUAUGAAAGGCUGGUAAGGAGAAUUUUGUGCUUGGGCUGGUGACCCUCCCAAAGCCAUCAAAUUUCCAGUAUCUCCUUGAAAACUCCUCUGGUUUGGUGCAUCCAAUGAUAUGUCAUUAACGUAAUGGAAACAAAAUGGUCCUGGUGUUAAACAGCACUAAGAAGAAAGGGCCACAUCUCUCAGCCCACUCAGCACGGAGGUUCUGAGCACACCGAGGGGAGGGCUCCCAAUGCUCACAGGGCUCUUGCACUUAUUC